rnacentral:tRNA from 1 species
GCAUCGGUGGUUCAGUGGCGAGAAUGCUCGCCUACCACCGGGUUCGAUUCCCGGCCGAUGCA